UCUGACACUAAGUUAACCCAUUUUUUCAUGCCAUGCCAAAAUAUCGAUAGUCUCUCUCUUUGGCAUGCCCUGCAACUUGGUCGAUCCAUUCCUAAACUGAGUCGACCCAGUGUCUUGAAACUGCCCUUCCACUACAGUCUUCAACCCUUCUUUGGUAUCUCGCUCCACCUUAUGUCCCAAGGUAUCCAAAGCUCAAAUCAAGCCCCUCA
rnacentral:lncRNA from 1 species